rnacentral:rRNA from 2 species
CGCUACUACCGAUUGAAUGGCUCAGUGAGGCCUUCGGACUGGCCCAGGGAGGUCGGCAACGACCACCCAGGGCCGGAAAGUUGGUCAAACUCGGUCAUUUAGAGGAAGUAAAAGUCGUAACAAGGUCUCCGUAGGUGAACCUGCGGAGGGAUCAUUA